rnacentral:lncRNA from 1 species
CUCUUAUUUUUCAAUUGUUUGUUUUCUUAAAUCUUUCCUUUUACCUUUUAACUGUACUGGUAUACAGGAAUUGUAAAGAAAGGUUACUCGGAAAAUAAAAUAAUAACGAAGCAGAGUUUGUGAGUAAAGAAAAAACAUAAAUAGCAAAUAAUUUUGCAAUAUGUUGAAACAAUAUCAAGAACCAUAACAUGAGAAUAUCAAAUAUUUUAGUGUAUUACUAUAUGCAACUUUUAAGCAAGAAAACAAAAUGCCAAGCGGAAAAAAACAGUAAGCACUAUUACCUGGGGGAUUGACAAUGGGAGAGAAAGCUAUAAG